UACGAAGGGUGCAAGCGUUACUCGGAAUCACUGGGCGUAAAGCGUGCGUAGGCGGUUUCUUAAGUCUGUCGUGAAAGCCCUGGGCUCAACCUGGGAAUCGGCGAUGGAUACUGGGAGGCUAGAGUGUGAUAGAGGAUGGUGGAAUUCCCGGUGUAGCGGUGAAAUGCGUAGAGAUCGGGAGGAACACCAGUGGCGAAGGCGACUUACUGGACACAUAUUGACGCUGAGGUGCGAAAGCGUGGGAGCAACAGGG
rnacentral:rRNA from 1 species